GAUGAACGCUGGCGGCGUGCCUAAUACAUGCAAGUCGAGCGAACGGACGCGAAGCUUGCUUCUCUGAUGUUAGAGGCGGACGGGUGAGUAACACGUGGAUAACCUACCUAUAAGACUGGGAUAACUUCGGGAAACCGUAGCUAAUACCGGAUAAUAUUUUGAACCGCAUGGUUCAAAAGUGAAAGACGGUCUUGCUGUCACUUAUACAUGGAUCCGCGCUGCAUUAGCUAGUUGGUAAGGUAACGGCUUACCAAGGCAACGAUGGAUAGCCGACCUGAGAGGGGGAUCGGCCACACUGGAACUGAGACACGGCCCAGGCUCCGACGGGAGGCAGCAGUAGGGAAUCGUGCGCAAUGGGCGGAAGCCUGACGGAGCAACGCCGCGUGAGUGAUGAAGGGCUGCGGAUCGGAAAACUCUGUUAUUAGGGAAGAACAUAUGUGGAAGUAACUGUGCACAUCGUGACGGUACCUAAUCAGAAAGCCCCGGCUAACUACGUG
rnacentral:rRNA from 1 species